rnacentral:lncRNA from 1 species
AGACCGGUGGGCUUCCUGCAAGAUCAGCUCGCGAAGCUCUUCAUUCUCGGGCACGCACUACCGGUUUCGAAACUGAAGCGCGCCACCGGCGUCCACAGUGAAAUCGCCAUCUCGUCCUUCCUCGAUGUUGCGCCGCACCUUUUGGAGAUUCGGAUCUGUGGGUUGCAAUUUCUUGAUCCUCUCCAAUAAGGUCGGUUGAAUAACGAGCGCCAUCAGCUGAGCCGGGACCUCGGGAGCGACCACUUCGAGGUCCAGUCGCUCCAUCUCCAGCCCUAGGGGUGUUUGNNN